CCCUUAGAUGUUCUGGGCCGCACGCGCGCUACACUGACGAAGUCAGCGAGCAUCUCCUACGCCGAAAGGUGCGGGGAAUCUUGUGAAACUUUGUCGUGCUGGGGAUUGAUUUUUGAAAUUCUUGAUCAUCAACGAGGAAUUCCUAGUAAGCGCAAGUCAGCAGCUUGCGUUGAUUACGUCCCUGCCCUUUGUACACACCGCCCGUCGCUACUACCGAUUGAAUGGUUUAGUGAGAUUUUUGGACUGGAACUCUCUUGUUCAGCAAUGAACGAGAGGGAUUCUGGGAAGCUAUUCUAACUGUAUCAUUUAGAGGAAGUAAAAGUCGUAACA
rnacentral:rRNA from 1 species